AUGUAUUUAAAAUGAAUUAAAAGAGUUAAAAAUAGAAAAUGAUUAUACAUAUAAUAUACAGUGCAAUCAUUUCAGACUUUCAGGUGAGUUUUGAGUCUGCAUUUAUAUGUGGCUAAUAUAUUAAUAAAUCUGAUCUCUGCUGCAAGUAACACAAUACAAACUUACAGAUUUUUAUGGUUCCAAAAGUCUCCAAAAAUUAGUAUUUUGCAUGUUUUAAGUGCACACAAAGGACUUUUUUUUUUCAACCUGGUCAUAUGAUGGCUAAAGUUGAGUAAACAUGUUACUCACAUGUCCUUUCUGUAUUUUUUCUAGAAAGGAUUUUUAUUUCAGUGAAGGAGGGAGAUCCUGUCAAUCUUCAAUUUGACACUGAAAUACAGGGAGAUGAUCUGAUCCUGUGGAUGUUUGGACCUAAAAGCACUUGUAUAGCUGAAAUCAACAAAACAGUCAAUACCCCCUCAUUACAUGAAGAUGUUCUUGAUGGGAUAUUCAGAGGCAGACUGAAACUGGAUCAUCAGACUGGAUUUCUGACAAUCACAGACACCAGAAUUGAACAUACAGGACUUUAUACAGUAAAGUUCACCAGCAGCAGAGGGUCAAAAUACAUAAGAUUCAUAGUAACUCUCAGUAAAAAGGCUCUGACUAAUCUUGAAAAAGCACUGAUUGGUAUUCUUCUUCUGGUGCUGGUGGUUAUUGCAGGCUUUCUGAUUUACAAGUGUAGAAAACCAAGGCAAAAUCGUGCUACUGCUGGUGAACAGAAUGGAUCGGCAAAAGAAUCGGGUGAAGCAGGAGUCUUAUAAUAGUUUAUAUUUAGCUCAAUAAUACAAACAAGAAGAAUGUUUAAGAUCCACUCAUGUGUGCUUCUGAAAUGUGCUUCUGAAACUAUUAAGUUACGGCUUUCAUUUGAUUUGUCAGAAAUAUUCAAAUGUGCUUUUAUUCAUUUUGAAGUUGAUGUAAGAGUUCACACCGUUUGCACUGAUGUUGAUAAUAUUGUGUUCUUGUAUUAAGAUUAUUUACAGAAGAACAUCAGUCAAAUGGUCUCUUAAUGUAUAUUUGCCUUUUUUAUUUUAUUUUUUUAAUACUCAUAGUCUUACUGUUGCGGUACACUUUCUUUAUUUUUCUUUUUUUGGGGGGCUCUGUAACCUGGUAAGAUAUGAAUGUGAUAGCUUGAAUGUGGUUUGGAUUUAGAGUGACUGUUUUCAUGAGGAUUGCCAUCCUACAUUUAGCUCAAUUUAAACUUUGUGUCACUCUGAUACUGAUGCUGUUACUUACUGAAUAUUACAUUCAUUCAGAUGUAGCAAAUUAUUUAUUAUUAUUUUUUUAAUUUUGCAUGUGGAUGAGUAUUGAGAAAAUAAACUUGUUUUGCCAUU